rnacentral:rRNA from 1 species
AGGCCUAACACAUGCAAGUCGAGCGGAUGAAGGGAGCUUGCUCCUGGAUUCAGCGGCGGACGGGUGAGUAAUGCCUAGGAAUCUGCCUGGUAGUGGGGGAUAACGUCCGGAAACGGGCGCUAAUACCGCAUACGUCCUGAGGGAGAAAGUGGGGGAUCUUCGGACCUCACGCUAUCAGAUGAGCCUAGGUCGGAUUAGCUAGUUGGUGGGGUAAAGGCCUACCAAGGCGACGAUCCGUAACUGGUCUGAGAGGAUGAUCAGUCACACUGGAACUGAGACACGGUCCAGACUCCUACGGGAGGCAGCAGUGGGGAAUAUUGGACAAUGGGCGAAAGCCUGAUCCAGCCAUGCCGCGUGUGUGAAGAAGGUCUUCGGAUUGUAAAGCACUUUAAGUUGGGAGGAAGGGCAGUAAGUUAAUACCUUGCUGUUUUGACGUUACCAACAGAAUAAGCACCGGCUAACUUCGUGCCAGCAGCCGCGGUAAUACGAAGGGUGCAAGCGUUAAUCGGAAUUACUGGGCGUAAAGCGCGCGUAGGUGGUUCAGCAAGUUGGAUGUGAAAUCCCCGGGCUCAACCUGGGAAC